UUCAAAACAAUAGCUAAAUCCAAUAUAGCGAAAGAUAAUUCAACCCCGCUGCUUCCUCACUUCAAUCUCCUCCGCGGCCCACCACGUCAUCCCCCAGACGCCAUUAGACCAGCAGCCGACCACCCUCCACUGCCGGCGCCAUUUUCAAGUGAAUUUUCUUGGCAAUGAUGGGGAUAAUUGGUGUGUUUUGAAGCAAGAUUGUAUAGUCUAUCAUGGCUGCGGAGGAUUCAAAAGAUCCUUUGAAGGGUAUAGAUUGGAAAAACAUGGGUACUGAAGCAACUGCCACCAAAAGUAAGGUGGAGUCUGAUCAACCAGUUGCCAAAAAACGGCUUCAGAAGAAAAUUAGGCAAAUUCCAGAUUAUUAUUUCCUCCCCAGAAGAUCUUUACCCUCAGCAAUUGCAUUUUAUGGCUCAUUUAUUGCUGCUGGAGUUGGUGCCGGCAUGCUUUUGGAAGUUUGGAUGAACAAAAAAAUCAAAGAGGAUGGAGGUGUAAUCUGGGAGUUUGACAAAUGAAGCAUCAGAAUUAGGAACACCAACUCUUUUACUUCACUUUAUGUAGGACAUUUCUGAUCGAGCUGAAAAUUUGUUCACCUCAAAUUGGAUUAUGUUUAAAUUUUGUGGAUUUUGCUCUCAGUUAAAGGUAGCAUAAUUGGCCCUGAACGUGUUACGCCAUACUCUUCCUCAGCUAUUCGGAGGAGGUUGAUGAAUAUCUCGGUAUUGAGAGAAGCCAAAGGAAUCAUAAACCGUCUUCCAUCUGUUGUGUAGACAACAAAGUGACC